rnacentral:tRNA from 1 species
GCCCCUUUAGCUCAGUUGGUUAGAGCGUCCGGCUCAUAACCGGACGGUCCCGGGUUCGAAUCCCCGAAGGGGCACCA